ensembl:lncRNA
CCCUAGCCCUGCCAGUGUAGCAGAAAUGAUAACUGAUGAUGAUGAUGGCAGCAGCACCCGUUCUUCUCUGGGUGAGUAUCUUAAUGUUGUUCGUGUGCAAUUUAAGUUGAGUAAGCUAACCACGUUAUUACAUUAAUGCAUGUAAGGUGAACUAGCAAACACCGUCGUAGUUACAUGUGGCUGUCUUCUUGUUUGAUGGCAGAUACUCCCUUCACCCUGGCCAAAAAGGCUAAAAUGACCAAAGAAAAAGUGGACGAAAUUCAUAGGGCAGUGACAAAAUUUAUAGUCAAAGAUCUCCAUCCAUUUUCAACGGUGGAGUCACCAUCAUUCAGGGAGAUGUCCACUGCCCUUAAUCCAAGGUAUCAGCCCCCAUCGAGGGAUGAUCUAUCCAACACACUUGUACCUGCUUGGUAUUGCGUGGAGAAAAGCAACCUCAUCCAGAAUUUGGCACAGGUUAACAAGGUCGCUAUCACCUGUGAUGGAUGGACCAGUAUUGCUCAGGACCAUUUCCUCACAGUGACUGUUCACUACAUCUACAAAG